rnacentral:lncRNA from 1 species
GUCCCGAUCAGCUUUUGAGCAUGUUCUGAUGUUCUGAAACAAAAGAUGUUCCAGGAUCACCUUGUGCUUCCCUUGACCCAGCCCUGGAAUCAACCAUUUCUCCGUGGGAUCCUGCUUUUGUCUUUUGACUAUGGUGUUUAGACAUGGAAGCCAGGGUGCAGGGUGACGCACCUACAUGGAAUGAUGAGCUGUGGAGUGUGUUUAGGACAGACUCCCACCCAAUGCAGAAAUAUUUUAAAUGGAUUCAUUUUUCAGGUAAUACCAAUUUAACUUUUAAAAUUAACUCUAAAUCCAGUUUAUCCCUCAGUAAUGUAAUAUACUGAAAAAAGAAAGAGACUGAUCCUGAAUCAAUGUAUGACUGAUCUGUGAUUUGAUAGCCUCUCAAAUCAGACAAGAUACUAUAAACAGCAAAUGUUAAAAAACCCUUAAGAUUCAGUAAAAUGUAUUUUUAUGCCCA